rnacentral:tRNA from 1 species
AGAGAAGUAAGCUAAAAUCAAGCUAAUGGGUUCAUACCCCAUCUAUAGAGUUAAUCUCUCUUCCCUA